ACGGCUGCAAACAUGUCUGCGUUUCAUUUUAGCUUUGCAACCGCUGUUGACCGUCCACUUUGAUCCUGACCAGCUCUCUGAACGCUAUGUUAUUCCCAGGACAAGGGAACCCAAGCAGUGGAGUUAAUUCUAGGAGUUAGAAUCUGAAAUAGUUCUUCUGACCCAACAUCUUUCAGUUCUAGCAUGUUACCACCCUAGGAGGGCAGAGAGUUUUGUCUUAUUUGAGGAAUUGCUUUGGGGGACUUGGUGUUGCCGUGGGCGGGGAGUGGUGGUGGUGGGGGUGAAGCUUUGACAUUC
rnacentral:lncRNA from 1 species